UUAAGUGAAUAAGGGCGCACGGUGGAUGCCUUGGCACUAGGAGCCGAUGAAGGACGGGACUAACACCGAUAUGCCUGGGGGAGCUGUAAGUAAGCUUGGAUCCCAGGAUUUCCGAAUGGGGAAACCCGCUGUUCGUAAUGGAACAGCAUCCUUCGCUGAAUACAUAGGCGUUGGACGGCAGACCCGGGGAACUGAAACAUCUCAUUACCCGGAGGAAGAGAAAGCAAAUGCGAUUUCCCAAGUAGCGGCGAGCGAAACGGAAUCAGCCCAAACCAGAAAGCUUGCUUUCUGGGGUUGUAGGACACUCCUUUGGAGUUACAAAGAGAGAGGAUAGACGAAGCGAUCUGGAAAGAUCCGCCAGAGAGGGUAACAGCCCCGUAAUCGACAUCCUUUCUUCUCCGGAGUGGAUCCUGAGUACGGCGGAACACGAGGAAUUCCGUCGGAAUCCGGGAGGACCAUCUCCCAAGGCUAAAUACUCCCUAGUGACCGAUAGCGAACCAGUACCGUGAGGGAAAGGUGAAAAGCACCCCGGAAGGGGAGUGAAAGAGAUCCUGAAACCGUGUGCCUACAAGUAGUCGGAGCCCAUUGAUGGGUGACGGCGUGCCUUUUGUAGAAUGAACCGGCGAGUUACGACCGUAUGCAAGGUUAAGCUGAUGAGAAGCGGAGCCGCAGCGAAAGCGAGUCUGAAUAGGGCGAAUAUAGUAUGCGGUCGUAGACCCGAAACCGUGUGAUCUACCCAUGUCCAGGGUGAAGGUCAGGUAACACUGACUGGAGGCCCGAACCCACGCAAGUUGAAAAUUGCGGGGAUGAGGUGUGGGUAGGGGUGAAAUGCCAAUCGAACACGGAGAUAGCUGGUUCUCUCCGAAAUAGCUUUAGGGCUAGCCUCAGAAUAGAAAGUCCUGGAGGUAGAGCACUGAUUGGACGAGGGGCCCCUACCGGGUUACCGAAUUCAGUCAAACUCCGAAUGCCAGAGACUUUGUUCUGGGAGUCAGACCAUGGGUGAUAAGGUUCAUGGUCGAGAGGGAAACAGCCCAGACCGCCAGCUAAGGUCCCUAAGUGUGUGUUAAGUGGAAAAGGAUGUGGAGUUGCUUAGACAACCAGGAUGUUGGCUUAGAAGCAGCCACCAUUCAAAGAGUGCGUAAUAGCUCACUGGUCGAGUGACUCCGCGCCGAAAAUAUACCGGGGCUAAACACACCACCGAAGCUGCGGAUUGAUCCGGAUGGAUCAAUGGUAGGAGAGCGUUCUAAGGGCUGUGAAGUCAGACCGUAAGGACUGGUGGAGCGCUUAGAAGUGAGAAUGCCGGUAUGAGUAGCGAAAAAAGAGUGAGAAUCUCUUUCACCGAAAGCCUAAGGUUUCCUGAGGAAGGCUCGUCCUCUCAGGGUUAGUCGGGACCUAAGCCGAGGCCGAAAGGCGUAGGCGAUGGACAACAGGUGGAUAUUCCUGUACCGCCUUCCUUCCAUUUGAGUGAUGGGGGGACGCAGGAGGAUAAGGAGAGCGCACCAUUGGAAGCGUGCGUCCAAGCAGCAAGACGGUCGGAAUAGGAAAAUCCGUCCGGCAACGUCGAGCUGUGAUGGGGAGGGAAAUUGAGUACCGAAGCUCCGGAUUUCACACUGCCAAGAAAAGCCUCUAGCGAGGAAGGAUGGCGCCCGUACCGCAAACCAACACAGGUAGGCGAGGAGAGAAUCCUAAGGUGAGCGGGAGAACUCUCGUUAAGGAACUCGGCAAAAUGACCCCGUAACUUCGGGAGAAGGGGUGCUCCUCUGCCGAGGAGCCGCAGUGAAAAGGCCCAAGCGACUGUUUACCAAAAACACAGGUCUCUGCGAAGCCGUAAGGCGAAGUAUAGGGGCUGACACCUGCCCGGUGCUGGAAGGUUAAGGGGAUGCGUUAGCCGUAAGGCGAAGCGUUGAACCGAAGCCCCAGUAAACGGCGGCCGUAACUAUAACGGUCCUAAGGUAGCGAAAUUCCUUGUCGGGUAAGUUCCGACCCGCACGAAAGGUGCAACGACUUGGGCACUGUCUCAACGAGAGACCCGGUGAAAUUAUACUAUGCGUGAAGAUGCGCAUUACCCGCGACAGGACGGAAAGACCCCGUGGAGCUUUACUGUAGCCUGAUAUUGAAUGUUGGUACAGCUUGUACAGGAUAGGUGGGAGCCUGAGAAGCCGGAGCGCUAGCUUCGGUGGAGGCGCUGGUGGGAUACCACCCUGGCUGUACGGACAUUCUAACCCAGGACCGUGAUCCGGUCCGGAGACAGUGUCAGGUGGGCAGUUUGACUGGGGCGGUCGCCUCCCAAAGAGUAACGGAGGCGCCCAAAGGUUCCCUCAGAAUGGUUGGAAAUCAUUCGCAGAGUGUAAAGGCACAAGGGAGCUUGACUGCGAGACCUACAAGUCGAGCAGGGACGAAAGUCGGGCUUAGUGAUCCGGCGGUACCGUAUGGAAGGGCCGUCGCUCAACGGAUAAAAGCUACCCCGGGGAUAACAGGCUUAUCUCCCCCAAGAGUCCACAUCGACGGGGAGGUUUGGCACCUCGAUGUCGGCUCAUCGCAUCCUGGGGCUGUAGUCGGUCCCAAGGGUUGGGCUGUUCGCCCAUUAAAGCGGUACGCGAGCUGGGUUCAGAACGUCGUGAGACAGUUCGGUCCCUAUCCGUCGUGGGCGUUGGAAAUCUGAAAGGAGCUGUCCUUAGUACGAGAGGACCGGGAUGGACACACCGCUGGUGUACCAGUUGUUCCGCCAGGAGCAUCGCUGGGUAGCUACGUGUGGACGGGAUAAGUGCUGAAAGCAUCUAAGCAUGAAGCCCCCCUUGAGAUGAGAUUUCCCCUAACUAUAAGUUAGUAAGAUUCCUCAGAGACGAUGAGGUCGAUAGGUCUGAAGUGGACGCGUGGUGACACGUGGAGCUGACAGAUACUAAUCAAUCGAUGACUUACCUUU
rnacentral:rRNA from 1 species